rnacentral:rRNA from 1 species
GACGAACGCUGGCGGCGUGCUUAACACAUGCAAGUCGAACGGAAAGGCCCUGCUUUUGUGGGGUGCUCGAGUGGCGAACGGGUGAGUAACACGUGAGUAACCUGCCCUUGACUUUGGGAUAACUUCAGGAAACUGGGGCUAAUACCGGAUAGGAGCUCCUGCUGCAUGGUGGGGGUUGGAAAGUUUCGGCGGUUGGGGAUGGACUCGCGGCUUAUCAGCUUGUUGGUGGGGUAGUGGCUUACCAAGGCUUAGACGGGUAGCCGGCCUGAGAGGGUGACCGGCCACAUGGGGACUGAGGUACGGACCAGACUCCUACGGGAGGCAGCAGUGGGGAAUCUUGCACAAUGGGCGCAAGUCUGAUGCAGCAACGCCGCGUGCGGGAUGACGGCCUGCGGGGUGUAAACCGCUUUCGCCUGUGACGAAGCGUGAGUGACGGUAAUGGGUAAAGAAGCACCGGCUAACUACGUG